CAACUACUCCCUCUGUCCCAAAUUUCUUAUCUUAGAUUUGUCUAGAUACGGAUGUAUCUAAUACUAAAAUGUGACUUGAUACAUCCGUAUCUAGAAAAAUCCAAGACAAGAAUUUUGGGACGGAGGGAGUACUUU
rnacentral:pre_miRNA from 1 species